UGGGGAAUAUUGGGCAAUGGGGGGAACCCUGACCCAGCAACGCCGCGUGAAGGAAGAAGGUUUUCGGAUUGUAAACUUCUGUCCUUGGUGAAGAGCAAGAGACGGUAGCCAAGGAGGAAGCCCCGGCUAACUACGUGCCAGCAGCCGCGGUAAUACGUAGGGGGCGAGCGUUGUCCGGAAUGAUUGGGCGUAAAGGGCGCGUAGGCGGGAAGCCAAGUCAGCUGUGAAAACUACGGGCUUAACUUGUAGACUGCAGUUGAAACUGGUUUUCUUGAGUGAAGUAGAGGUUGGCGGAAUUCCGAGUGUAGCGGUGAAAUGCGUAGAUAUUCGGAGGAACACCGGUGGCGAAGGCGGCCAACUGGGCUUUAACUGACGCUGAGGCUCGAAAGUGUGGGGAGCAAACAGG
rnacentral:rRNA from 1 species